rnacentral:piRNA from 1 species
ACAGCCUAGAGGUGAGCAUGAGGGG